rnacentral:rRNA from 1 species
ACGGAGGGUGCAAGCGUUAUCCGGAUUCACUGGGUUUAAAGGGUGCGUAGGCGGAAUGAUAAGUCAGUGGUGAAAGCCCCGAGCUCAACUUGGGAAUUGCCAUUGAUACUGUUGUUCUUGAGUUCGGUUGAGGUAGGCGGAAUGUUGCAUGUAGCGGUGAAAUGCUUAGAUAUGCAACAGAACACCGAUUGCGAAGGCAGCUUACCAAGCCGACACUGACGCUGAGGCACGAAAGCGUGGGGAUCAAACAGGA